GAGGGCACAGGUCAGUGGUGGAGCAUGUGCCUAGCAUGCACAAGGUCCCGGGUUCAAUCCCCAGUGCCUCCA
rnacentral:tRNA from 1 species